rnacentral:rRNA from 1 species
GACGACCGCUGGCGGCGUGCUUAACACCUGCCAGUCGAACGGAAAGGCCCUGCUUUUGUGGGGUGCUCGAGUGGCGAACGGGUGAGUAACCCGUGAGUAACCUGCCCUUGACUUUGGGAUAACCUCAGGAAACUGGGGCCACUACCGGAUAGGAGCACAUGCUGCAUGGUGGGGGUUGGUAAGUUUCGGCGGUUGGGGAUGGACUCGCGGCUUAUCAGCUUGUUGGUGGGGUAGUGGCUUACCAAGGCUUUGACGGGUAGCCGGCCUGAGAGGGUGACCGGCCACAUUGGGAAUGAGAUACGGCCCAGACUCCUACGGGAGGCAGCAGUGGGGAAUAUUGCACAAUGGGCGGAAGCCUGAUGCAGCAACGCCGCGUGCGGGAUGACGGCCUUCGGGUUGUAAACCGCUUUCGCCUGUGACGAAGCGUGAGUGACGGUAAUGGGUAAAGAAGCACCGGCUAACUACGUG